rnacentral:pre_miRNA from 1 species
UAUUAAAAGUUUCAUCUAUUUAUAUUGCUAAGAAACUGGUAUAGUUGGUAGAAUAACUUUAUAGUGGCAUGUGACAUGCCACGUAUAUCUCAUAUUGAUAUACAAUGACUAAUUUUUAAUGGUAAAAAUGGAUAAGUUUUUAAUA